ensembl:lncRNA
UUUGUUAUGUAUUUAUUCUGUUUUACAAGCAUCAUUCGUACCAACAUUCAUCGAUUUUCAAUACUAAGUUUGUCCGUUUUUUUCAAAAACAUUUUUUUUUUUUUUUUUUACAAAGACAUAAAUAUAUGAUAGAAUACAAUACAGUAUAAACUGUAUAAAAUACAAAAUAAAAUGGAUAUACUUAUUUAAAAUGAUAAUCACAAAAGAGACGAAACCAGAAAAUGGGAUCUUUUGACAACGAGGCAAAAAACACCAGCAUGAACUUAAAACAGCUGAACACCAAUGAUAUUAUUGUUGUCCGUCUCAAAACCGUUCCCCCUCUGUCGUACACUAGUUUACAGUACACUAGUUUAUAGUGCACUAGUUUAUAGUGCACUAGUUUACAGUACACUAGUUUAUAGUGCACUAGUUUACAGUACACUAUUUUAUAGUGCACUACAAGGGGAAAAAAAACGACAUCAUCGGAGACGCAGCUAAUGGCUAUGUCAGAAAUGGGCGUCGCCGGAGACGCAGCCAAUGGCUAUGUCAGAAAUGGGCGUCGCCAGAGACGCAGCCAAUGGCUAUGUCAGAAAUGGGCGUCGCCGGAGACGCAGCCAAUGGCUACUUCAGAAACUACAUCACCGGAGACGCAGCCAAUGGCUACAUCAGAAACUACAUCACCGGAGACGCAGCCAAUGGCUACAUCAGAAACUACAUCACCGGAGACGCAGCCAAUGGCUGUGUCAGAAACGGCACCCUAUUCCCUAUAUAGUGAACUCCUUUUGACCAGAGCCCUACAGGGCCCUUCGUAGGGAAUAGGAUGGCAUUUUGAACGUAGACAUUAUGUAUAUUAGGUAAGUACGUACGCAGGUCGCUUUUGGGUCCAAAUUUUGUUGUUUUUUUGGGGGGGCCUGAACAACCAAACUACGGAAAGCUGGAAGGCACAUAUCUGAGGAAGCAUGAGACCUUCAGAUGAAGGGAAGUGUCCCCAACAGCACCCUAAUUCCCUUACGGUGCACUACCGUUUGACCAGAGCCCUUUUGACCACUAUAUAUUUAGUGCACUAGCGCACGAGUGACCUUUUCCAACACCAAAUAGGGAAUGGGGUGCCAUUUUGGAACGUAACCCGGGCAACAGGAAGAAGAGAGACAGUAGAGGGAGGGUGAGGCAGUGAAACAGGAAGAAGGAGAGAGACAGUAGAGGGAGGGUAAGGCAGUGAAACAGGAAGGAGAGAGACAGUAGAGGGAGGGUAAGGCAGUGAAACAGGAAGAAGGGAGACAGUAGAGGGAGGGUUCGAGGCAGUGAAACAGGAAGUGUUAAGGCCAACUGAUCAUCUAAAAACAGGAUGCCCAAACUGUUAUAAGACAUACAACCUGACCAAUAAAAACAGAGUAUUCAAUAUCAACAUGACCAAUCGGUAAUCUUCUGUUGUCAUAUUCCAGCCCACUAAUAUAGAUAUCUGUCACCAAGGUUAGAGAAUUAUAUUAAAACAAGGCAUGUUAUUGACCCCAAGGUUAGAGAAUUAUAUUAAAACAAGGCUUGUUAUUGACCCCAAGGUUAGAGAGAAUUAUAUUAAAACAAGGCUUGUUAUUGACCCCAAGGUUAGAGAGAAUUAUAUUAAAACAAGGCUUGUUAUUGACCCCAAGGAUAGAGAAUUACAUUAAAACAAGGCUUGUUAUUGACCCCAAGGUUAGAGAAUUACAUUAAAACAAGGCUUGUUAUUGACCCCAAGGUUAGAGAGAAUUACAUUAAAACAAGGCUUGUUAUUGACCCCAAGGUUAGAGAGAAUGACAUUAAAACAAGGCUUGUUAUUGACCCCAAGGUUAGAGAGAAUGACAUUAAAACAAGGCUUGUUAUUGACCCCAAGGUUAGAGAGAAUUAUAUUAAAACAAGGCUUGUUAUUGACCCCAAGGUUAGAGAAUUACAUUAAAACAAGGCUUGUUAUUGACCAAGGUUAGAGAGAAUGACAUUAAAACAAGGCUUGUUAUUGACCAAGGUUAGAGAGAAUGACAUUAAAACAAGGCUUGUUAUUGACCAAGGUUAGAGAGAAUGACAUUAAAACAAGGCUUGUUAUUGACCAAGGUUAGAGAGAAUGACAUUAAAACAAGGCUUGUUAUUGACCCCAAGGUUAGAGAGAAUGACAUUAAAACAAGGCUUGUUAUUGACCCCAAGGUUAGAGAGAAUGACAUUAAAACAAGGCUUGUUAUUGACCCCAAGGUUAGAGAGAAUGACAUUAAAACAAGGCUUGUUAUUGACCCCAAGGAUAGAGAGAAUUAUAUUAAAACAAGGCUUGUUGUCAUCCUUCAUCUUCCUCCAUUAGACAUUGUAGUUAUUAUUAUUAUUAUUAUUAUAAACACAAUAUAUACAUGUAUGUUACAGGAAUAUACAGGGUGUUAAUGCUCCUCAUGUCUCAAUAUAAAUCAGUAUGUUCAAGCAUUCAGGGAGUCGGCGGCUUUGGCUUGCGGAGGGGUUUCAUUACCUAAAACAGGGUGAAAAGUCAAAAAACAGGAACAGGAAAUACAUCACCAUAGAACUAAAGGCCGAUAAAAGACAGAAGAAGAGGUCAAAAAGAAGGUUGACAGUCCAGUGGGCCCAUUGUCACUAGGAUGUACGACUAGGGAGAGGGACCAUAGACUUAGACAGACCUCUAUGGUGCAGCACAUGCUGUCACACAAGACAUUGUCGCACAGGUGCAAAGCAGAGCCCUCUAGCUAGCUCUAUGGGAGAAACAGGCCAGGCUAGGAGAGGCCAGCUCCUCUUAGCUCUAUGGGAGAAACAGGCCAGGCCAGGACAGGAGAGGCCAGCUCCUCUUAGCUCUAUGGGAGAAACAGGCCAGGCCAGGAGAGGCCAGCUCCUCUUAGCUCUAUGGGAGAAACAGGCCAGUUCCUCUUAGCUCUAUGGGAGAAACAGGCCAGGCCAGGACAGGACAGGCCAGGACAGGACAGGCCAGCUCCUCUUAGCUCUAUGGGAGAAACAGGCCAGGCCAGGACAGGCCAGGCCAGCUCCUCUUAGCUCUAUGGGAGAAACAGGCCAGGCCAGGAGAGGCCAGCUCCUCUUAGCUCUAUGGGAGAAACAGGCCAGUUCCUCUUAGCUCUUUGGGAGAAACUGGCCAGGCCAGGACAGGAUAGGGCCAGCUCCUCUUAGCUCUAUGGGAGAAACAGGCCGGGACAGGAGAGCUCCUCUUAGCUCAGAGCCGCCCCACUACAUACUAAAUGGCAGGACUCUGCUCUAUCUAUCUAUCUAUCUAUCUAUCUAUCUAUCUAUCUAUCUAUCUAUCUAUCUAUCUAUCUAUCUAUCAAUCAAUCAAUCAAUUGUUGAUACAUCUCAUCUUCUCCUCCUCCUCUUGAUUGGGGGAGUAACUCAAGAGUCAUUUAGCUUUCACACCCUCUUCCUCUUCCUGGGACACAUCCUGUUUCCAUCCCUCCUCCAUCUCCCUGUCCCUUCCUCUCCCUCAGCCUGCGUUCAUUCCAUCCUCCACCCUCUUCCUCUUCCUCUUCCUGGGACACAUCCUGUUUCCCUCCCUCCAUCAGCCUGCGUUCAUUCCAUCCUCCUCUUCCUCUUCCUGGGACACAUCCUGUUUCCCUCCCUCCCUCAGCCUGCGUUCAUUCCAUCCUCCACCCUCUUCCUCUUCCUGGGACACAUCCUGUUUCCCUCCCUCCCUCAGCCUGCAUUCAUUCCAUCCUCCACCCAUCCCAUCCCGUCACUCGCUGUCUGUCUCCAGGUCUGAAUCGGACCACUGUACCGGGGUCAGUUUUCCGCGUCGCUGUGCGUACUCGAUGACGGCCGUGUAGCAGAAGUAAUACUGAUCCCAGGUCUGUAUACUGAAGGCUCUCUGGGUCCUCAUCCUCCUCACUGUCUCACACACAUCCACCGUCCCAAUGUCCUCCAGCCUGGACAGACAGAUGUCCAGGGUACAGAACGUACCUGAGGAGGGAAAUGAGAGAGAGAGGGGUUAGUGGAGGGAGAGAGGAGAGAAACGAAAGAGAGAAAGAGGGGUUAGUGGAGGGAGAGAGGAGA